CUCGGAGUUUGAUCCUGGCUCAGAUUGAACGCUGGCGGAAUGCUUUACACAUGCAAGUCGAACGGUAGAGGGGGCAACCCCUCGAGAGUGGCGAACGGGUGAGUAAUAUAUCGGAACGUGCCCAGUCGUGGGGGAUAACGUAGCGAAAGUUACGCUAAUACCGCAUACGAUCUAAGGAUGAAAGCGGGGGACCGUAAGGCCUCGCGCGAUUGGAGCGGCCGAUAUCAGAUUAGGUAGUUGGUGAGGUAAAGGCUCACCAAGCCAACGAUCUGUAGCUGGUCUGAGAGGACGACCAGCCACACUGGAACUGAGACACGGGUCCAGACUCCUACGGGAGCAGCAGUGGGGAAUUUGGAC
rnacentral:rRNA from 1 species